rnacentral:lncRNA from 1 species
GUUAAUGUCACCCCAUUGCAAGCUGUACCACCAAACAUAACAACAACAUAUGCUCCACCGGCAUCAUCAAACCAAGUAUCUUCCAUACCAACGGGACGAUCAAGAUCAUUUUCUAACCCUACAUAGAACAAGUCUAGUAGCUUUAUACCGAUGGAGACACCCAAUAUGCCUAAUGGGGGUGCAAGAGGGCCACUUUGUUAUUUUUGUUACAGACAGAUUGAUCAUUAUACUAGUGAAUGUCCUAAUCCGAGAGCCAGUGACAA